UACGUAGGGUGCAAGCGUUAAUCGGAAUUACUGGGCGUAAAGCGUGCGCAGGCGGUUGUGCAAGACCGAUGUGAAAUCCCCGGGCUUAACCUGGGAAUGGCAUUGGUGACUGUACGGCUAGAGUGUGUCAGAGGGGGGUAGAAUUCCACGUGUAGCAGUGAAAUGCGUAGAGAUGUGGAGGAAUACCGAUGGCGAAGGCAGCCCCCUGGGUCAAGAUUGACGCUCAUGCACGAAAGCGUGGGGAGCAAACAGG
rnacentral:rRNA from 1 species